rnacentral:rRNA from 1 species
AGAGUGAACGCUGGCGGUAGGCCUAACACAUGCAAGUCGAACGGCAGCACAGUGGUAGCAAUACCAUGGGUGGCGAGUGGCGGACGGGUGAGGAAUACAUCGGAAUCUACCUUUUCGUGGGGGAUAACGUAGGGAAACUUACGCUAAUACCGCAUACGCCCUUCGGGGGAAAGCCGGGAUCGCAAGACCUGGCGCGGAUAGAUGAGCCGAUGUCGGAUUAGCUAGUUGGUGAGGUAAUGGCUCACCAAGGCGACGAUCCGUAGCUGGUCUGAGAGGAUGAUCAGCCACACUAGGAACUGAGACACGGUCCAGACCGUACCGUACGGGAGGCAGCAGGUAGGGAAUAGUUGGAACAGU